AGCUUUGCGCAGUGGCAGUAUCGUAGCCAAUGAGGUUUAUCCGAGGCGUGAUUAUUGCUAAUUGAAAACAAUAAAAACUGCAAAAAAUCCUUAAAAAAUAUUUAGAUUUUAUUUGAGAGUUUUUGUUUUGCUUUAAUUAUU